rnacentral:lncRNA from 1 species
GCAUCAGACCCAUACACGUCCCACUGUCCAGUGGUGUUGCCCAAAUCCUCCAAAUCAAAGUACACACUCUUGUCACCGUACUUUGCCACCACAGCACCAGCCCUGCAAUUCAAUACAGAAGAUUCCAAAGACUAGCCCAAGUUCAUACCUCCCUCAAACAAUGAAUGCAUUCAGUUUUUUGUUUUUACCUUGAGUUACCCACUCUCAAACUUCGGCGAGCUGGCUUGACGGAGAGCUUAGUUCCGGAAAUGGAGCUGCCGGCAAGGCCCUUGAUGUUGAUAGGUUGUACUGCAGCUAAGGUUGCUAGAGAAGCCAUGGCCUUUGCUCUGCUCCAAACUCAGUUCCUUCUUCCUCGGUUGGCUGGC